UGGAAUGAUACACGCUCAGGAUCAUUUACAGUAAGAUCGGCCUAUCAUGUCGAGUUUGAGCAUCAAUAUGGACGCCAUUGGCAGCACCCGGAUGGGCAGGGAAGCACCAGUAUAAACCCCAUCUGGAAACUAAUAUGGAGCCUGGCUAUCCCUGGCAAAGUAAAGCACUUUGUUUGGAAAUGUCUAAAAGGUGUACUGCCCUGUUUGGGUAUUCUUGCUGGGCGUCACAUCCCUACGUCCGCACAGUGUCCGGUUUGUAAGAUUGGGUUAGAUGACAUCCAACAUUGCCUCUUCAGUUGCCAGAGAGCGAUGAAAAUCUGGGAAGAACUAGGACUAUCAGAAGACAUCAAGAAAGCUAUCGCCGAAGACCAGUCGGGUUCGAUAACGAUGGAAAUACUGCAAAGAGCCCAAGAUAGUGCGGACGGAUUGCCAAAAGCAGAAUUAUUUGCAGUUGCAGCGUGGUAUAUUUGGUGGCAGAGAAGACAGCUUGUCAAGGGGGAAAGUAUAACGUCCCCGGAGCGUACUGCUACUACUAUCAAGGUACUGUGUACAAACUUCUUCCGAGCUUCAAAAACUAAUAUACCAGAUAGAAAACGAGAGCAGAUGUGGAGGAAACCACCUAGAGGAUGGGUGAAGAUUAACGUCGAUGCCUCGUUUAGUACUGAAACUAUGUCAGGUGCAGUGGGCGCGAUUGCUCGAGAUGACAGAGGAGAGUUCGUUGCAGCCGCGGCGUGGUUCAUUCCACAUGUGAUCACCGCCGAAUCAGCGGAAAUACAAGCCAUCAGAAACGGGGCUUGGCUAGCGCAACACAUUGGCUGUAACUCUCUCAUCUUGGAGUCAGAUAACCUGAAUGCUGUACAGGCUUUUGACCAACAAGAGAUUUACAAUGGUAACGACGCAGCCGUGGUGAUGGACGGCAAGCAAAUCUGUACCGAUUUUGCAUCAGUGUCCUACCUACACUGUUUUAGGGAAGCAAACGAGGUUGCUGAUCUCCUAGCAAAGCAUUCUUCCCUUAGUAGAUCCUCUCAUCUUUGGGAAGAUUUUACCCCUGACUUUAUUUCUCAGGCUAUUGUAAACGACUUGUCUAUUAUU
rnacentral:rRNA from 1 species